rnacentral:rRNA from 1 species
AGUGAACGCUGGCGGUAGGCCUAACACAUGCAAGUCGAACGGCAGCACAGUAAGAGCUUGCUCUUACGGGUGGCGGGUGGCGGACGGGUGAGGAAUACAUCGGAAUCUACUUUUUCGUGGGGGAUAACGGAGGGAAACUUACGCUAAUACCGCAUACGACCUACGGGUGAAAGCAGGGGAUCAUCGGACCUUGCGCGAUUGAAUGAGCCGAUGUCGGAUUAGCUAGUUGGCGGGGUAAGGGCCCACCAAGGCGACGAUCCGUAGCUGAUCUGAGAGGAUGAUCGGCCACACUGGAACUGAGACACGGUCCAGACUCCUACGGGAGGCAGCAGUGGGGAAUAUUGCACAAUGGGCGCAAGCCUGACGCAGCCAUACCGCGUGAGUGAUGAAGGCCUUCGGGUUGUAAAGCCCUUUUGUUGGGAAAGAACAGCUGCAGAUUAAUACCCCGCUGUUCUGACGGUACCCAAACAGUAAGCACCGGCUAACUUCGUG